rnacentral:rRNA from 1 species
GAUGAACGCUAGCUACAGGCUUAACACAUGCAAGUCGAGGGACCGGCGCACGGGUGAGUAACACGUAUACACCCUGCCCUUUACUCGGAGAUAGCCUUUCGAAAGAAAGAUUAAUACCCGAUAUAAAGGAUGGGGAUGCGUUCCAUUAGUCUGUUGGGGAGGUAACGGCUCACCAAGCAUUCGUUGGUUAGGGGUUCGGAGAGGAAGGCCCCUCACGUUGGAGCCGGGACACGGGCCAAACGCCGAGCCGAGGCAGGAGUGAGUAAGAUUGGUCAGUGGGUGCUAGCCUGAACCAGCCAAGUAGCGUGAAGGAGUAAGGCUUAUGGGGCGUAAACUUCUUUUAUAUAAGAAUAGGUAUUAGACGAAUAAGGAUCGGCUAACUCCGUGCCAGCCGCCGCGGUAAUAC